ACCUGACAGGCUCAGUUGGUAGAGCAUGUGACUCUUGGUCUUGGAGUCGUGAGUUCAAGCCCCAUGUUGGGUG
rnacentral:tRNA from 1 species